CACACUCUUGUUUUGUUCAGAAGAAAUCAGUUUCAGCCAAAUGGGAAGACAAGUGUUUCACGGACAUAAGAAAUUUAAAGUGGAAGCACUUUCUAGAGCACACAAAACAGCCUCCCUAACACGAGAAGUCACCAACACAGAAAUCACCAACAAAUCCAGUCCUGCUGGGACGAACCUCACCCUACUUAGCAGCUGCUGGGUAUCAAAUAGAUGCUGCCCAAAAGGUGGCUAAAGAGCCUAAGUGGAGAUCUGCUUGUAUUCUUCAUUGAUGAAGUCUAAAUAUGAAGCUAGAACUGAAGACAUUCCAUCAGAUUGACUGUUACAGGGUAGGGAGCUGCAGCACAAGCACAGAGAAGCCAGCAGCCUCAUCGCAUCACACUAGCUCUGCAGCGCCAAGGCAGAGCCUGCGCCCUCGGACGCUCUGUCCAGUGUUUUUUCCCACUGCGCCAUGCUGCUUGUUCCUCAGGGCUCUGACGUUUCCUUCUGACACUGAUUUUUUUUUGACACUGAAUUUUUAAAUAAUUAUUUUUCAAGGUGCAACAUUUUGACUGUCAAAAUUCAGCUAGUGAGAUUUCCAAGUCCAUUUCUUGGAGGUCUUCUUCUAAUUUCUUAUUUCCAAGUAUUUUUUUUUAUUGCAGCUUAAUUUAUGGUAAGAAGCAGCUGCAUUUCUUGACCCCAAAGCACUAGAGUGAAUUAACAAUUUAACGUGGUGCAACCACUGAUUCAAGUGCUUUUAAUGUCUCAUUUAAUCCUAAAGCCUGUGCUGGCCUCUGAGAUGUAGUUACUGCUGUUAUUCUCAUUACAAAGAUGAAAGAACUAAGGCAUGAGGUGCUCAAGUAACUUUCCAAAGGUGACUCAGCUAGGAGUGGAGGAGCUGCUGGGAGUGGAGAGGCUCCUUAAAAGUGAGGAGUUCCUUUUUGGAUACAGGUGCCUUAGCCCCAGACUUACACUCUUAGAUGUUGUUCUAGACCUUUGGACCCAGACUAGCUCACUGGGACAUUAGACUAUACAGUAAAGGGAGAAAGGAAUCCUACCUGACUGCUUCAUUGUCAGCAGGAUGAAUAGAAAGGAGGCGACUGCACCAGACAGACUGUACCCUGGAAAAUCCACCAUCCUCCCUGGAACAAACACAAGGAAACCCUGUGCCUAAGUGAGGCUGUGACACACCCAGCAUACUCCAUGGCUUCCACUGGUUAUGCAGUCUUAGCAGAGAAUCCACAUCAACCCCUGCACAGUCAAUGAAAUGGGCUCAGCUCCAUUUCUCUGCAGUUAUUGGUCACAUCCAACCCUUUACCUAACGUGUUAUAUUGUGAGACAAUGUAGCAAAUGUAAGAAGCCUUGUUUGCUCAUUUCUGCUUGCUAGCAUACUUUCACAAAGCCCCUGAUUCUGUGAUGACCUGCAGCUCUCCAGAAAGAUGCUUCAAAGACAAAACAAGAUUGAGCACACGGCCUCCCAUCUCUCUUGCCUGAGUCACUCUGCUCCUUAAAAGAUAAGCAAUCAUAGUCCUUGCUUUUUCCUACACGUAAGAUAACGUCUGAUUGAAGGAUGCCUCUGUAACCUAUAACCAGAUCUGCUCAUACGCCCAAACGUUGAUGUAAUUCGGCUUCAGUGUAGCUUCUGAGCUAAUUUGAUGUAGUGAUUAAUAUGUAACCUCUUGACAUCGAAAAGGAUAUGGAUUUGUUUCUGAAACAUAAAGUUUUACUGAUUGUUUUGUGCAUGAAAUAUUUUGGUCUAUAUAUUGUCAUCUGUGUCCAAUGAUUGUAACCUUUGUAUUGCACCCUCCAAUGAAAAAAGACAACUCCAAUAUGAAGAGCCCCUUUCUUUCCGCCUGAACUUCCUUACAAAAGCCUUCCAACUUGUAACAGACUUUGGACCACCCUCAACUUCGUCGGUGUGUCUUCCUACAUCAAUCCUGACAUUUGGCUUCCAAUAGAUCUUUAUGAAAUUAUUCCUGCUUCAACAACCCUAAUUUCAUGAGACAAUAUUUUAAGCAUUUUUUUAGGCAUAAGGAAGUCUUGUGACUGAAAUGAAAAAACACUUGAGGUAAAGGAACAAUAAUAUUAAAAAAAAACCCAAACCAAACCAAAGCAAACAAAACUCCUUAGGUUUAUCUGUUGUGAGCUUGCAAAACUUACAGAGCAAGAUUCAAAUAUUUUUUCCUGUCCUCCUCCCAGCUCCUCCUGCAAAGCCUUUCUUUACCACAGUUUUCUACACGUAGAGGGAAGGGCAGGAAGGCUCUGUGUCUCCACACUGCAGCCAGAAAGCCAACAUUCAGUGCUAGCACUCAGAGAACCCGGGACAAAGAGAUGCAGUGGAAAGUGAAAGAAAGAGUAGUAGAAAGAUAGUCGGGAAAAUAUCUGUAAGUGGCCUUUUAGAAUAGACUUAAAAACACGAAUGAAUUAAAAAAACAAAAAACCCAACUGGCAGAAAUUGGCAAACCCAACAACCCCAAUGUACCAGCUUAACAAAAAUACUUCACACACUAAAAAGUUUAAAACUUACCAGGACAAGGAUAGAAGGCUAGUUUUACCAUUGAAAAAUACAAACUUCAGAGUGAAAGAAGUCUAAGACUUAUUAUAUGUGAGGUGUCAAGUAUUUUAUUGAGAGAAAACUUGCUUCACACAAAGUAUAGAAACCAGCUCAGGAGCAGUGUCAAGUCAAUUACAGCUUCCUCCUUUCCCAGAAACUAAUGCUAGUAAGAUUUUAUGGGACAGGGGAAAAAUCAACAUUCUGAAAUGGAGAUUUAACAAUCAAAUGAGU